ensembl:antisense
AUUCCCCAAUGAGAUGGUCUUUUUGAUCAGUUCUCUCAGAACCCUCUGCAGAAAUGAUCAGAGACUUGAACACCGAGGCAGACAAGCCAAUUCGGUAUUGAGCAAGAUACCUUGGACUGAGAAAAUCUCCUGAGAAGAGGGCAUGCAGAAAGGAGCAAGGCCGAACAACUUCGACUUUCCUUUCUUGGAUUCAUUACAAACAACAUAGAUGUGGAUGCUCAAGUCCUCUGAUGGUCCUUAAAAAUAGGCAGGUCUUUGAAAAGGAAUAACCAAAGUAAGAAGAAGCUCCAAGAAUAUUUGGAGCAAUUACUAUUGACUGGAUGGAGAAGAUGGAAGAAAUCGCCUUUCAUUCAGGGCAUGGAAUCUCAACACUACAGCAGUUAUACCAAGUGGUCCAGCAUCAUCUUCCUGACCCCUCCCAUCCAUCCACAUAAAUAUACACAUUUUUUCUUACAUUGGCCCAUGUAUGCUACUGAGAUCAACAUGCGCUAAGAGGAAAACCAAAAUGAAAGUUUCUAUUGGUUGGUGAAAAGCAAGAUCUUCGUCUUUCCCGUCCGGUUGGAGGCUACUCUUCUCCCAAGUGCCCAUUAUGUGGCAGGUUCUCAGAAAUUAUUGAUCAAGAGAAAGAAGAUGGAUUCUUGCCCUCCAGGAGGUCACUUCCGAGGCAGUACAUAAGACAGCUGCAUACCAGGUAGCUGGUACUGACUGGCUGAUGAAUGACACACAGCGCUGAGAGACGGAAUGCUUCUGAUCAGAUCGAAAGGCAGGCUGCAUUGGAAAGUGGUGCUUCCAGCUGAAAUCAUGGUGCCCUCCCUUAUCAGAACACGGCUCAAUCAAUUACAAAUACCACUCCAGCUCCGGUCACUCAAACAGGGACAUCAUCUCCUCUUUCUUUUCUGGGUUAGAACUUUUACCUUAUCAUGGUGAUAACUGACUACAUUAAAUUCCUUCUGAUGCUCCAACCAAUUAACAGGAAUUUAGUGGCUCUACAAGAACUUUAGAUUGCCUCACAUUGCUGUAGAAGCCAGCAUUUCUCAAUCAGUUUUAGCUGGCUAAAGUCAGAGACAUGGUCAGGGGAGCAGGGCUGGUCACCAACGCAGCUUUGGCAGAGAAUCACUUCCUGGUCUUUUUGUCGCCACUGCAUUCUGCCACACUCAGCCGUCAGCUCUCUCUUCAGACCCAGCGGUGAACACCCUUCCAUCUGUCUGUCAUCAGAAUUUCCCUCUACUUCACUCUCAAGAGGGAGUUUUUGUGGUUGCACUAAGUUGUGCCUGCAUAAUCCAGGAUAAUCUCCUCAGUUCAGGAUCUCCAAAUAAACUCCAGCUACAAAUUUCACGAGCCACGCAUUCACAGUGUAAGGGUUAGGGCCUGGCGGGCAUUAUACCUUCAUGGAGCAGCCAGUAAAAAGAGGAAGGAGGUCAUAUCUUACAAACCAUUUUUUCAUUGAACUUAAUUUCUGUGUAUGUAUUUGAGCUACUGUGUGUUACUAGUACUGUGGAAUGUGAGGCCUCUAGUGUUUUUUUUAAGAAGCAGAGAAGUAGAUCAAAAUGAUCCAGGAUGAAGUACAAAAGACAAGGGGCAAGGAAAGAAAUACUCAAAGCCUUGUAAAUGGGAGCUCAGGGGCCAGUGUUGCCUGAGUCAUGCCUGUAGCCAUUUCUGAUAAACGGGAAAGAAGACCUACAUGAAGAAUGGCACUGUGAGCUGAGUGGGCAGAUGUUCUUUAAAUGAGCAAUUUUUACAUAAUUCAGGGAGAGGGUUGAGUGGUGAGCUUGUAACUAUCUUCUUCCAAAAUUAUUUUGAUUUUAACUAAUCUCUGUAUAUGCUUGUAUUUUUGUGUAUGUAUAUGUGUAUUUCUGUAUAGGUUAGAAGAAGAAGUUGAACUCCCCCAGAACUGGAGUUACAGGUGGUCGUGAGCCACCUAAUAUGGGUACUGAGAACUAACUUUGGGUUCCUUGCAAUAGCAGCAAGCAUUCUUAACUGUUCUUCAUGGUAGAAUUUGGCCAUUCAAGUGAUCACAUAAUUACUCUCAUCAGGAGACAUUUGCUAUGUACACAAUUGACUUUUGUGCAUAGUCUUUGGAGAGAUUUUAUUUAUUUUAGACUAUUAAAUUCCCCUUCCUCCACU